rnacentral:tRNA from 6 species
UCGGGAUAGCUCAGCUGGUAGAGCAGAGGACUGAAAAUCCUCCGUGCC